rnacentral:rRNA from 1 species
CCCUUAGAUGUCCGGGGCCGCACGCGCGCUACACUGAAGGAAUCAGCGUGGCUUUCUCCCUGACCCGAAAGGGUUGGGAAACCCGUUGAAUCUCCUUCGUGAUAGGGAUUGGGGCUUGAAAUUGUUCCCCAUGAACGAGGAAUUCCCAGUAAGCGCGAGUCAUAAGCUCGCGUUGAUUACGUCCCUGCCCUUUGUACACACCGCCCGUCGCUCCUACCGAUUGGGUGUGCUGGUGAAAUGUUAGGAUCGGCCGUUUGUCGCGGUUUCCGCGGCUCGUGGCUGAGAAGUUCAUUAAACCCUCCCACCUAGAGGAAGGAGAAGUCGUAACA